rnacentral:rRNA from 1 species
GAUCCUGGCUCAGGAUGAACGCUAGCGACAGGCUUAACACAUGCAAGUCGAGGGGCAGCGGGGAGCAGCAAUGCUCCCGCCGGCGACCGGCGCACGGGUGAGUAACACGUAUGCGACCUGCCCUUUACAGAGGGAUAAUCGGAAGAAAUUUCGUCUAAUACCUCAUAAUACCAAGAGUCUGCAUGGAUUUUUGGUCAAAGGAGCGAUCCGGUAAAGGAUGGGCAUGCGGUACAUUAGGUAGUUGGCGGUGUAACGGACCACCAAGCCGACGAUGUAUAGGGGUUCUGAGAGGAAGGUCCCCCACACUGGAACUGAGACACGGUCCAGACUCCUACGGGAGGCAGCAGUGAGGAAUAUUGGUCAAUGGUCUGACGACUGAACCAGCCAUGCCGCGUGAAGGUGACGGCCCUAUGGGUCUUAAACUUCUUUUGUAAGGGAGCAAUAAGGCGUACGUGUACGUCGAUGAGAGUACCUUACGAAUAAGCAUCGGCUAACUCCGUG